GAUGAACGCUGGCGGCGUGCCUAAUACAUGCAAGUCGAGCGAACAGACGAGGAGCUUGCUCCUCUGACGUUAGCGGCGGACGGGUGAGUAACACGUGGAUAACCUACCUAUAAGACUGGGAUAGCUUCGGGAAACCGGAGCUAAUACCGGAUAAUAUAUUGAACCGCAUGGUUCAAUAGUGAAAGACGGUUUUGCUGUCACUUAUAGAUGGAUCCGCGCCGCAUUAGCUAGUUGGUAAGGUAACGGCUUACCAAGGCGACGAUGCGUAGCCGACCUGAGAGGGUGAUCGGCCACACUGGAACUGAGACACGGUCCAGACUCCUACGGGAGGCAGCAGUAGGGAAUCUUCCGCAAUGGGCGAAAGCCUGACGGAGCAACGCCGCGUGAGUGAUGAAGGUCUUCGGAUCGUAAAACUCUGUUAUUAGGGAAGAACAAAUGUGUAAGUAACUAUGCACGUCUUGACGGUACCUAAUCAGAAAGCCACGGCUAACUACGU
rnacentral:rRNA from 1 species